AUUUUUUUUAAAUAAUGCAUUAUUUCUGUGGCACCCUAAUGCAAUAAUGUACAGAGGUAAAAUACAUAUCAUUAACUAUUUGUCGUCUUUCCAUUUCAGAAAACAUGUAAUAGAAUUGGCAUUUUACCUGAAGUGUGAUAAACUAUAAGGAUGCGUAUUGCAGUGUUUCAUUUUGGGGUUGUUACAGCACAUUAUAGAAGAGAGCACAAAUGAUAGCCUUCUCAAGCACAUUUAUUUAGGACAUUUUAUUCUGCAGUCAUUAUCGAUUUUAAUCUCUAUGUACUUUUGUAAUGUACAUUUUCAA